CACGUAGGGCGCGAGCGUUGUCCGGAAUUAUUGGGCGUAAAGAGCUCGUAGGCGGUCUGUCACGUCGGCUGUGAAAACCCGAGGCUCAACCUCGGGCCUGCAGUCGAUACGGGCAAACUAGAGUACUGCAGGGGAGACUGGAAUUCCUGGUGUAGCGGUGAAAUGCGCAGAUAUCAGGAGGAACACCGGUGGCGAAGGCGGGUCUCUGGGCAGUAACUGACGCUGGAGGAGCGAAAGCGUGGGGAGCGAACAGG
rnacentral:rRNA from 1 species